GACAUCCAAAAAGGAGAUGGCUUGUGAGAGGAGGACACUUGCACUUUCAAUACUCAGUGGUUCAGUGUUUGACAUGGAGAACAACUGUGCAAUGUGCUCCUUUUCAAAGCCCCCAGGAUCUGGGCUUCCCACUACUGAUUGGAGAUACAGUGUGAUAGCUGUGAUAGAUGGUUCCAUGUGCAGUGCCUGGGGAUGAGUAAGGACCAACUCCGAGACACCAGGGCAAGCAACUGGAAUUGCCUUGUCUGCACGUAGGGCUUAAGAUAUUAAGCUGAUUUGACUAUAUUUUUGUCUGUUGUGUUAUGAGACCAAUUUUAGUCAGACAUAGUCUUAGAAUGACAGUGUGUUUCAUGUUGGAAGAAACUGUGUGAUUUAAAAUUUAAAUAACUUGAUAGAUGUAUAUAAUUAAAGGUGUUCAUAUUGUUUCAUUUAAAAAGACAAACUUUAUAGUUUUGUAUUUUUUUUAUUUAUUUGUUUUAAAAAUGUGAAAAAAUGUAAAUAGUAUUUUGUAUGUGAAAUAGAUCAUUCUAAUUUAAGAGAUGCUUGUAUGUGUGUGUUUUUUGUAACAUCAAAGCAACCUUAGGUAAGUUGAACAUCAAAAGCCAGAAACAACAGUUGUUUGAAUUCUUUGGUACGCCACAGGCACCAGCUUGCUCUCAGCUAGUCUUGCUAGCGACACUGUCUUUCCCUCAUCCUGCUUGCCAGCUACACCAGCUCAUUGCUUUCUUGCC